CAGCAGCCACGGUAAAACAGAGGGUGCGAGCGUUAAUCGGAUUUACUGGGCGUAAAGCGUGCGUAGGCGGCUUUUUAAGUCGGAUGUGAAAUCCCUGAGCUUAACUUAGGAAUUGCAUUUGAUACUGGGAAGCUAGAGUAUGGGAGAGGAUGGUAGAAUUCCAGGUGUAGCGGUGAAAUGCGUAGAGAUCUGGAGGAAUACCGAUGGCGAAGGCAGCCAUCUGGCCUAAUACUGACGCUGAGGUACGAAAGCAUGGGGAGCAAACAGGAUUAGAUACCCCCGUAGUCCCUGUCUCUUAUAA
rnacentral:rRNA from 1 species